UAUUAAGAGAGUUUGAUUCUGGCUCAGGAUGAACGCUGGCGGCACGGAUAAGUCAUGCAAGUCGAACGAUGCAAGAUAGCAAUAUUUUGCAUAGUGGCGAACGAGUUAGUAACACCUUGGUACGUACUCCGAAGUCGGGCAUAAUUCGCCGAAAGGCGGACUAAUUCCCGAUGGUCUCGUAAGAGUAAAGUUUGGCCAGACAUUGUGCCCAUUUUAUCUUUUUAGCGGAGCGAAUUUUAAUCAGAUUCGCGACACGAGGAGGAAGCUGUAGAUGAUUCUACUGCGAAGACGAGCAACAAAGAAUAUGAUUAAAAUUAGCCCGCCCAAUCGGGAAGCUAAAUAAUAAACGAUUCCUUUGUCUCUCCUCCUCAGCGUAGAAUAUCUACGCCUUCGUCGUCGUUUCGUGGACUCGAUUUAUUAUUUAGCUUCUAAAACGAUAAAAUGGACACAAUGUCUGGCCCGACGCUUCGGAAGCGGCCUAGGUCCUAUCAGCUUGUUGGCGGGGUAACGGCCCACCAAGGCUAUGACGGGUAGGGGGUGUGAGAGCACGACCCUCAACGAUGGAACUGAGAUACGGUCCAUACACCUACGGGUGGCAGCAGACGAGAAUAUUCGACAAUGCACGAAAGUGUGAUCGAGCGAUGCCGCGUGC
rfam:Candidatus Yanofskybacteria bacterium RIFCSPLOWO2_12_FTLL_43_11b rifcsplowo2_12_scaffold_1256, whole genome shotgun sequence.